rnacentral:rRNA from 1 species
UACGAAGGGGGCGAGCGUUAAUCGGAAUUACUGGGCGUAAAGCGUGCGCAGGCGGUUGAUUAAGUCUGAUGUGAAAGCCCCGGGCUCAACCUCGGGCCUGCAGUCGAUACGGGCAAACUAGAGUACUGCAGGGGAGACUGGAAUUCCUGGUGUAGCGGUGAAAUGCGCAGAUAUCAGGAGGAACACCGGUGGCGAAGGCGGGUCUCUGGGCAGUAACUGACGCUGAGGAGCGAAAGCGUGGGGAGCAAACAGG